CAAUUCUAUAUUGUUAUAUUAAAUAUACCAAUUGGUAUAUUUUAGUAUAUAUUCUUUAAUAUUUAACGAUUGAAAAAGGGAAUCGGAUAUCUCACAGACGAGCAAACUCAAUUUGUUCAUAUAUUAAAUUGUAGGGCACAAAAAGAAGUGCAAUCAAUGUUCGAAGCAUUUAACAUAUUUGUGUCAAAUUAGAACAAACUGAACAAUUGUUGUAGAUGUGAUUAAAGCAAAUGCGACCCCUUGAACAUAUUUUGCGAUAACGCUGGACUUCGAGAGACGCUCUACGCAUGAAAGCACAACACUGCGAGACUUUCAUUUAAAUAUGGGUAAUUCUCUGAGGGAUGUCGCGUGCGACCAUCUUUGCAGUGACAAAAAUAAACAACAUGAAACAAUUUUAAAAAUAAGCAAAAAGUAUUAUGGGGUCAGACUUCCUGUUAACAUAAACUGAUAUGUAAGAUUCUUCUACUCUAAAGAAUAGAUUUGAAAUAAUUAGUUUUUGUUUUGGCAAUUAAUAGCACAAUUGUAUAUAAAAUUGUUGUUUUAAACGCGAACGCAAAUAAAAAUUUGAUUGUUAUACCCGA